GACUAACGCUGGCGGCGUGCUUAACACAUGCAAGUCGAACGCUGAAGCUCAGCUUGCUGGGUGGAUGAGUGGCGAACGGGUGAGUAACACGUGAGUAACCUGCCCUCUUCUUUGGGAUAACGCCCGGAAACGGGUGCUAAUACUGGAUAUUCACUGAUUCUCGCAUGGGGGUUGGUGGAAAGGUUUUUUCUGGUGGGGGAUGGGCUCGCGGCCUAUCAGCUUGUUGGUGGGGUGAUGGCCUACCAAGGCUUUGACGGGUAGCCGGCCUGAGAGGGUGACCGGUCACAUUGGGACUGAGAUACGGCCCAGACUCCUACGGGAGGCAGCAGUGGGGAAUAUUGCACAAUGGGCGAAAGCCUGAUGCAGCGACGCCGCGUGAGGGAUGGAGGCCUUCGGGUUGUAAACCUCUUUCGCUCAUGGUCAAGCCGCAGCUUUGGGUUGUGGUGAGGGUAGUGGGUAAAGAAGCGCCGGCUAACUACGUG
rnacentral:rRNA from 1 species